CCUCUCUCAGAGUCGCACCUGGAGAGUUUCCAGUACUCUACCAGCCUCAACUACAGGAGGGAGAGUCAAACAGAGGCAUAUUCAUUCCAUUUCUAGCUCGGGACAGUGGCUAGCGAGUGGAAGACAAUCUGCUACAAGU